UACGGAGGGGCUAGCGUUGUUCGGAAUUACUGGGCGUAAAGCGCACGUAGGCGGCUUUGUAAGUUAGAGGUGAAAGCCCGGAGCUUAACUCCGGAACUGCCUUUAAGACUGCAUCGCUUGAAUCAUGGAGAGGUUAGUGGAAUUCCGAGUGUAGAGGUGAAAUUCGUAGAUAUUCGGAAGAACACCAGUGGCGAAGGCGGCUCACUGGCCCGUUACCGACGCUCA
rnacentral:rRNA from 1 species